CCUACGGGCGGCAGCAGUGAGGAAUAUUGGUCAAUGGACGAGAGUCUGAACCAGCCAAGUAGCGUGAAGGAUGACUGCCCUAUGGGUUGUAAACUUCUUUUAUAUGGGAAUAAAACGUUCCACGUGUGGGAUUUUGUAUGUACCAUAUGAAUAAGGAUCGGCUAACUCCGUGCCAGCAGCCGCGGUAAUACGGAGGAUCCGAGCGUUAUCCGGAUUUAUUGGGUUUAAAGGGAGCGUAGGUGGAUUGUUAAGUCCGUUGUGAAAGUUUGCGGCUCAACCGUAAAAUUGCAGUUGAAACUGGCAGUCUUGAGUACAGUAGAGGUGGGCGGAAUUCGUGGUGUAGCGGUGAAAUGCUUAGAUAUCACGAAGAACUCCGAUUGCGAAGGCAGUUCACUGGACUGCAACUGACACUGAGGCUCGAAAGUGUGGGUAUCAAACAGGAUUAGAUACCCGAGUAGUC
rnacentral:rRNA from 1 species